CACGUAGGGCGCGAGCGUUUGUCCGGAAUUAUUGGGCGUAAAGAGCUCGUAGGCGGCCAGUUGCGUCCGCUGUGAAAUCCCGGGGCUUAACCCCGGGCGUGCAGUGGAUACGGGCUGGCUAGAGGCAGGCAGGGGAGAACGGAAUUCCCGGUGUAGCGGUGAAAUGCGCAGAUAUCGGGAGGAACACCGGUGGCGAAGGCGGUUCUCUGGGCCUGUACUGACGCUGAGGAGCGAAAGCGUGGGGAGCAAACAGG
rnacentral:rRNA from 1 species